AGGGAAUAUUGGACAAUGAGCGAAAGCUUGAUCCAGCCAUGCCGCGUGUGCGAUGACGGCCCUCGGGUUGUAAAGCACUUUAGGUAACGAGGAAAAGUUAGGUGUUAAUACCAUCUAACCUUGACGUUAAUUACAGAAUAAGCACCGGCUAAAUCCGUGCCAGCAGCCGCGGUAAUACGGAUGGUGCAAGCGUUAAUCGGAAUUACUGGGCGUAAAGCGCGCGUAGGUGGCAUAUUAAGUUAGAUGUGAAAUCCCGAGGCUUAACCUCGGAACUGCAUCUAAAACUAAUAAGCUAGAGUACUAGAGAGGAAAGUAGAAUUCUUAGUGUAGCGGUGGAAUGCGUAGAUAUUAAGAGGAAUACCAAUGGCGAAGGCAACUUUCUGGAUAGAUACUGACACUGAGGUGCGAAAGCGUGGGGAGCAAACAGG
rnacentral:rRNA from 1 species